rnacentral:rRNA from 1 species
UACGUAGGCAGCGAGCGUUGUUCGGAGUUACUGGGCGUAAAGCGUGCGUAGGCGGUGUCUUAAGUUUGUUGUGAAAUCUCCCGGCUUAACCGGGAGGGUGCGGCGAAUACUGAGAUGCUGGAGUGCCGGAGAGGUAAGCGGAAUUCCUGGUGUAGCGGUGAAAUGCGUAGAUAUCAAGUGGAACACCAGUGGCGAAGGCGAGUCUCUGGACAUUUCCUGACGCUGAGGCACGAAAGCCAGGGGAGCAAACGGG